rnacentral:rRNA from 1 species
GUGUAGGUGUGUGUUCCAGGUAAAUCCGGUUCACUUUAACACUGAGGCGUGACGACGAGGCACUACGGUGCUGAAGCAACAAAUGCCCUGCUUCCAGGAAAAGCCUCUAAGCAUCAGGUAACAUCAAAUCGUACCCCAAACCGACACAGGUGGUCAGGUAGAGAAUACCAAGGCGCUUGAGAGAACUCGGGUGAAGGAACUAGGCAAAAUGGUGCCGUAACUUCGGGAGAAGGCACGCUGACACGUAGGUGAAGUGAUUUACUCAUGGAGCUGAAGUCAGUCGAAGAUACCAGCUGGCUGCAACUGUUUAUUAAAAACACAGCACUGUGCAAACACGAAAGUGGACGUAUACGGUGUGACGCCUGCCCGGUGCCGGAAGGUUAAUUGAUGGGGUCAGCGCAAGCGAAGCUCCUGAUCGAAGCCCCGGUAAACGGCGGCCGUAACUAUAACGGUCCUAAGGUAGCGAAAUUCCUUGUCGGGUAAGUUCCGACCUGCACGAAUGGCGUAAUGAUGGCCAGGCUGUCUCCACCCGAGACUCAGUGAAAUUGAACUCGCUGUGAAGAUGCAGUGUACCCGCGGCAAGACGGAAAGACCCCGUGAACCUUUACUAUAGCUUGACACUGAACAUUGAGCCUUGAUGUGUAGGAUAGGUGGGAGGCUUUGAAGUGUGGACGCCAGUCUGCAUGGAGCCGACCUUGAAAUACCACCCUUUAAUGUUUGAUGUUCUAACGUGGACCCGUUACCCGGGUUGCGGACAGUGUCUGGUGGGUAGUUUGACUGGGGCGGUCUCCUCCUAAAGAGUAACGGAGGAGCACGAAGGUUGGCUAAUCCUGGUCGGACAUCAGGAGGUUAGUGCAAUGGCAUAAGCCAGCUUGACUGCGAGCGUGACGGCGCGAGCAGGUGCGAAAGCAGGUCAUAGUGAUCCGGUGGUUCUGAAUGGAAGGGCCAUCGCUCAACGGAUAAAAGGUACUCCGGGGAUAACAGGCUGAUACCGCCCAAGAGUUCAUAUCGACGGCGGUGUUUGGCACCUCGAUGUCGGCUCAUCACAUCCUGGGGCUGAAGUAGGUCCCAAGGGUAUGGCUGUUCGCCAUUUAAAGUGGUACGCGAGCUGGGUUUAGAACGUCGUGAGACAGUUCGGUCCCUAUCUGCCGUGGGCGCUGGAGAACUGAGGGGGGCUGCUCCUAGUACGAGAGGACCGGAGUGGACGCAUCACUGGUGUUCGGGUUGUCAUGCCAAUGGCACUGCCCGGUAGCUAAAUGCGGAAGAGAUAAGUGCUGAAAGCAUCUAAGCACGAAACUUGCCCCGAGAUGAGUUCUCCCUGAGACUUAAAGUCUCCUGAAGGAACGUUGAAGACGACGACGUUGAUAGGCCGGGUGUGUAAGCGCAGCGAUGCGUUGAGCUAACCGGUACUAAUGAACCGUGAGGCUUAACCUUACAACGCCGAAG